rnacentral:rRNA from 1 species
UACGUAGGUGGCAAGCGUUAUCCGGAAUUAUUGGGCGUAAAGCGCGCGCAGGUGGUUUCUUAAGUCUGAUGUGAAAGCCCACGGCUCAACCGUGGAGGGUCAUUGGAAACUGGGAGACUUGAGUGCAGAAGAGGAAAGUGGAAUUCCAUGUGUAGCGGUGAAAUGCGUAGAUAUCGGGAGGAACACCAGUGGCGAAGGCGGCUUUCUGGCCUGUUCUUGACGCUGAGGCGCGAAAGCUAGGGGAGCGAACGGG